UACGAAGGGGGCUAGCGUUGUUCGGAAUUACUGGGCGUAAAGCGCGCGCAGGUGGUCCUUCAAGUCAGGGGUGAAAGCCCAGAGCUCAACUCUGGAACUGCCUUUGAGACUGAGGGACUUGGGUACGGGAGAGGUGAGUGGAAUUCCGAGUGUAGAGGUGAAAUUCGUAGAUAUUGGGAAGAACACCGGUGGCGAAGGCGGCUCACUGGCUCAUUACUGACGCUCAGGCGCGACAGCGUGGGGAUCAAACAGG
rnacentral:rRNA from 1 species